GGGGUUAUAGCUCAGUGGUAGAGCACUUGCUUAGCAUGCUCGAGGUCCUGGGUUCAGUCCCCAGCACCUCCA
rnacentral:tRNA from 1 species